rnacentral:lncRNA from 1 species
GGCCCUGCCUGCUCAGGCAUCUCGGAUGGCGCGAAACGAUCCCGCAUCGGCGGUCAACCUCAGCAUUGAUACAUAGCUACCUGAAAUCAAAACAAGGGUCAAAUACAAAUCACAAUCAACUCUCGACCAAAUUAAAUGAAAGUCUAGAAGGCCGCCCCUAUUUUUUCUCAAAAUUAUGCCGUCUACAGCUCACAUAAUUUUCUUGGCCGAAACAGAUACUCCUUCAGUCACUCACUCCACUCUAGGAGGAGUUAAAAUAAUUCAAUCGCUAACUUUUGCGAUAAAUCAUGCCUCUUGCGUCUUGCCUUCCUAAGGUUUGCCAAGCUUAAGGUUUCCUAGGUCCCAACGACCUAAUGCUAAGCUCUGAUACCAACUUAAUCUGUCAUGUCCCGGGUUACCAUGCUUCUCCGGGCACGCUAACAGACCCGCCGUAUACAAAGAAUUUUUUUUGUAUACGAAAUGAUAGCUGUACCUGUAAAUAAACCAAGCUACAACCAGAAGGUAAAGAUCUAGCUGCCAAACAGAACUGAAUAUAAAGAUAAAAUAUCAGGUUCACUAUACAUACUAAGUCUUCGAGAUACAACGAACCAUCGCUCCAGCGAGUAAACCAAUAUAAGUAUGUGCAAGAACC